rnacentral:lncRNA from 1 species
GUAAUCCACUAGGCGCUGCCCGGCUGCGCUCACUCUCGGACGCAGAGACCCGCUCAUGUUGGUGAAGAAGCCGCGCCAGAACCGCGCGGCUGCAGUCACCUCGAGCAGGCCGGCUGCUCCUGGCAGGCGGUGUCGGCGCCGGCGGGGGACUCGGCGCCCAGGGCCCCUUCCAGGCCCUCCCUCGCCGGGCUCCCCACCAGCUCCGGAGGUGGCGGCGAUGCGGACCGAGUGAGCGGCGGUGGGGCCAGGCCGGGCGCCGGGCGGGAGCCGAGGCCGCGGCGGACUCCGCAAUCCCGCAGCCGGUGACUGGAGCCCACCUCUGCAGAGACAAAGGAACUGCUCUGGUGAACUCCCCCUGAAAGUAAAUGUCCUUGGCUGGCCUCCAGCAUUCCCCUCAUGGGCAUAGCCAUGCAGCCUUCAGAACCUUCCUGAAAGAGAUGCCCAAGGAUUCAGCAAACACGGGGGAAGCAGAGGACACAAGAAGCUUGGAUGUGAAAUAGCACUUCCUUCUGUGUUACAGAAUAAAACAAUAUUUUAAAUUACA